UCCUGCUGAGGUAAAGUGGCUCCCUUCUCCAAGACAUGCUCCUGCUCCAGUCGCUGCUUACUGUGGCCAGAACCACAGGAGCGGGAAGUCCGGCCUGAAUCCUCUGAAACCAUGAGCCAGAGCAGCCCUUCUUCUUUCACAGCUAAACUAACGAAGCAACCCGAGGUGGAGGCUCACACUCCAAACAGGACCACAAGGACUUCCCGCAGGUCCCCUCUGCCCCUCCUGCCUUCUGCUUUCUUCAGGCUCUCUCCCGGCUUCUCCCCUCUCCAGCUUCUCAGGAAAGUCAGAAACAGGGCAGAGGGCUCAGGGUUGGGAAGAAUCUUACUAGACAUCUUACUGGUUCUGUUCAAAGCUUGAAUUAUUUUUAGGAAAGUGCUCUUUCAAGGGCAGUGUACACUCACUGCCGCUGGAGAGCUGGUCUGAAGGCAGAUUUUGAUCCACUAGGUCUAGGGUGGAGUCUGAAGUUCUGUGUUUCUAACAAGUGCUCAUUUACUGCUCAUGGACCUUUACUCAUACUUUGCAUAAAAAGGAUCUAAAAAGGAGCCAUCCAUUUUCUUAAAUAUCCAUGGGGCAUUUACCACCUGCUUAAGAAACUGACAGAAUCUUUAACUCAAACUGACUACAAAAUAAAGAGAAUUUGUUAAUUCAUAACAAUUUCCAGAAGUUCAGGUAUAGUGAGAUCCAGGUGCACAAAGGCUGGCAUCAGGAAUUAGUCUCUGUCCACCUCUCAGUUCUGCCUUCUUCCAGCCUUGCUCUACCCUCCAAUUGUCCAUACUCUUAAUGAUGGAAAAGAAUAGGCUUCCAGCACCUCCAAGCUUACAUCCUGCCAGAUUGGCAAUCACACUAUAAACCAGUCAAUGUGACCAAGAGCAUGGAAUGUGCUGAAUACCCAGGCCUGGUCAUCUGGUCACCCCUUGAGCAAGAGGCUGGACCCGUUACACCAAGCACAUGGACUGCAGGUUUCGAUGAUCUGGGUGAUUCUUCAGCAGACCUAGAGGUGGACAUCAGGAACACCUGGUCCAGACCGCCAUCCUUGCUCACUUGGAUCAUGGGACUCCUGACUUGUCUCCUCCCUCCAGUCCCACCCACCAUGGUCCACUGCUGCACCAGCAGCCAGGCUGUCAUGAACUGAGCGGCUCUGCUCCACCACACCCUUCCACCAUGAUGUUUCUGUCUUGGAGCAGCCAACCAUGGACUGAAUCCCCCAAACCGUGAGCCAAAUUAGACCUAUCUUUCUCUAAGUUGUGGGGGUCAGAUGUUGUGUCUCAGCAAUGUGAAAGCUGCUAAUACAAAACUCUUCCUCGAAGAAACAAACAGGUAUAAACACAGGUGAAUGAGGGUAUGAAUUUAGAAGUAGGUAACUAAGAGCAGAACUGCACUUUAGAGCUGAUUUCCCAGCUCUGGCUGCAGGCAGGAACUCCAGGCUUCCACCUCAGCCCCUCACUCAGAGCUUUGACCUGGGCCUGAGAUACAGACUUCAUACACCUGGUGGUUGGGGCUGAGUGCUUCUGCAUGUGCGGCCCCAGACUGUCAGCAUUGGCUUCACCUGCAGACGUCCAUGGUUCUCAGGCUGCACAGUAACCACGCGGUGCAGGAGGCACAGGUCCCAGGUGCUGCUGCUGCUGCCACAGACAGGGUUACACUCUGACCCUGGAGUCCUCUGCCUGCUGAUCCUCUGUGGAGAGAGGAGACCGGAGCUUGCUGGUCUCAGGUAGGAAGCCCUUGGCAGUGGCACUGAGCUGCCCUGUCAACUGUCCUUUCCCUUGAUUCCUGUGUCUGUAGAUGAGGUUCUGAGGCCUAGGAGGAGCACACUUUGCUCAAAUCCUGAGAUCCACCUUGGAAAAGCCACAUGGGCAGGGUGUCUCUUGAGCGUCGUGGUGUGCCAAGGGCUUCGGGCAGGCCUCUGCAGCCUAAGGUAGGGUCUCUGGAGAAAGGUGGGGCUCAGCAACAACCCACCUGGCCCAAGGCCAGCAAGGGCUAGCCAGGCACCCCGCCCCCUGCCCUCAUGGAGGAAGCAGCUCUUCUGUGCCUCCUGCGCCCUGGGAGAAGUGGCGAGGAGCAAGCCAGGCAAAGGAAGCCGCUGCUGGCACCCCGUCACCUCCACCCCUGGGAGCUUCCUGCCUGGGUGUACUGAGCUCCACACAGCCUCUCCUGCUGUCUCUGGAGAUGGUGGGAAGACAGUGGCUGGGACCAGCAGCCACUCCCCCUCCUCCACAGUGCCAUCCUCAGGAAACCAGGCUCAGCCUGGGCAGGGAGCUUGGAGUGGCCUGCACCGGCCAUGUGACUCUGUUCCCCUGGGAAGAUGGGGAGAACUGGCAUGGCAGUGACUCUGGCCAACAAGGGUGGGGGUAGACUGCUGUGGAACUGGGAAGGGUUGGGUCUUAGAUGCUGGGCAAAAUAAAAAGAGGGAUGGAGAGAUGAAGAAUGGUUUAGCGGAAACAGGACACAGAAGAGCAGCAAGGCUAAUGGUAAAAUCUGGGUGGGAGGUGCAUAGAUGUGCACUCUGCUAUUUCAGCUUUUCUGUAUGUUUGGAACUUUGCAUCAGAAAAUGUCUAAAAAGAAUCGUGCUUGAGUAUCUUGUCAGGCUGAAUUUAUUCAUACACUAAGACUGCACAGUUCUACUUCUAGACAUGUAUUUAACAAAUAUAAUCCCAGCACUUGGAAGGCUGAGGCAGGAGGAUCACCCCAACUUCAAGGCCAUCCUGGGCUCAUACUGAGUUCAAGGGCAGAGUGAACUAUAGGAUGAGAGCCUGUCUCAAACAAAAGACAUUAAAAGUAGAGUGUGGUUCCCUGCAUGUAAAGCUGGUGAACUGGCUAAGCCAACCACGGUGUCAGCUUCCGGCUUCUGGAGAUGGGUAUGGGAGAAGUGACCAGAGCAAGCAGGGGGGCUCCUGGGGAAUUGAUCACAGCUGCUUGUUGCUCUGUGAGGCUUCAGGGAAGGGACUGAGUAGUGCACUUAUCUUGUACACUUUUCUUCACAUGCAUGCUCUUGGUGGGAAAAGGCCCCUUGCCUGGCCCUCUCUGCAAUGGGGUGGGGGUGACAGGUGGAAUUUCUGCCACCUUCCAGUGACCACACAGGGACGAGCCAGCUCUCUGAUGGCAGAGCAGAGAGGCGGAACAAGGUGCCUUUGUCUGCCUGACCCUGGUCCUCCUCGAGGAUCUGCAAGGUAAACAACUGCCCCUGCUGGCCACGAUGAUCCUAACCCAGACUGGGCCCAGCUAGUGCUGAGCAAGGGUGGAACCAGGGCAGCCCCGCCCCAGUUGCUGUUGGAGGAACUGAGCAGGGACUACAGAGGUGCACUUGCUGGACUGCAGCGCUGUCAUGAGCUAGGCCCCUGGCACCUUGUCCUGCACCCGGGCCAGGACUCCCAAGCUGAGCAGCUGCUCUGCGAAGCCCCUGUCACCCAGGUGUGGGGACCAGUUCCCCUCCCACAGCCGUGCCGGGUCGGGUCGAGGAGGCACUCAGGAGUCUCCACUGACUACCCAGCAGUAACCAAGGCAGGGCUGGCCCCGAGUGCUCCACACAUGGCCCCGUGUCGUCAGCUAUUCACCUUGCUUCCACGUUAACCCAAUCCACUUCACUGGGGGGAUGAACUGACAGAGCCCUUGAGACAACUCCGCAGCCCAGGACCCCUUACCCAUCCGCCUCUGCCGUGCAGCUGCUGCCGGAAGCCCUGCCCAUCUUCCUCCCUUCAGCCCACAGACUAAGACUGCUCUGUCUGGGCUCAGCUUUGGUGCUCCCCUCUGGGAACACUCACUGCAGAGUGAGUGCCCACGGGAUUCGCCAACCUGGCAACAAAGAUGAGGACCCUUGUAACUGGCAUUCACCAGGGAGGCUUAGGCAAGUUGGAGUGUGUGUUCACCCAGCCUUCACCACAGCCCUGUGCAAUCGACCUUCCUGUCCUAUUCCCAGGAAGGAACCAGACGUGCAAAGACAUGAGAAACGUCCUCGCCCAACUCCCCACUACUUGUUACACCAAACACCAAAUUAUUCUCUCUUUAAGCCUAGUAACUAUAGCAACCAGAGAGCUCUUCCUCAUCCAUUGCAUCUACAAACAUUUUAAAAAAUCAUAGCUGGCAGCACUGGCAAAGUGGCAGGGAAAUAAACACAUCGAUGGGCAGAGGCAUAAGUUGAUGUAGAAACCUGGACACAAGGUGGCAUUAAGAGUGUGUGAUCCCAGAGCACACUCGGUGCUCCAGAGCAUGGAGACUCUGGUGGCGCCUGGUGGGUGAUUGUGGUCCAGCCAGUCAGGGCACAGCUGGGCGGACUGCGCCAGCCUUCAGCCUCUGAGUAGCAGGCAGUGGCUGUGGGGCAUCCUUGGGGCUCUCCAAGUGCCCUGCCUGGCCAGUCCUGCUAGUGUCUUGAUGCCCAUUUUGCUCUGGGUGGUGUGAGAAGCCUCGCCGUGGAAGUUUAGGGCCAGAAAAAGAGCUUGAGUGUGCGUGAGCUGGACCUCGGAGCCCCGGCCCUCAAGCCGCUGAGAACUGUUCUGUCCAAAACAGUGAACUGGGGGCCGAGAGAGGUCAGUUUUUCUUUUCCCCUCCCCUCCUCCAUGGGGAAAAAUUGCAGGCAAUUUUGCAUAAGAUUUUUUUAAAGGUUCAUAAACUACAAGAUAAGUAUCUGGGAGCGUGGGUUUGCACCCCAGAUGCAGGGCACAUGCUUCUCCACAGAGACCUAACAGGGAAACUCUUGACUAGAGGGGACGGAAGGUCAGUGGUCUCCACCUGGAUGUAGCUAAUAGGAGGCAUUUAUGGACAAAAAAUAAAAGUUUGCAUAGAAGUUUAUUAUUAAAAGAUUAUCUCUAGAACAAAAAGUUACAAUGUUAAAUUUGGAGAGAAGAAAGAGUAAUAGAGUUAGUUAAAUCAUCACUUAUGGCAAUAGUGAAUCUAUGAGUAUUACCUUAAAUUGAUAAUUCAGUAACCCCUCCCCACAGCUAAGAGCUCUCAGGGGCUGGGUAUGUAACUCAGUGGUGCCAAACCUGCCUGGCAAGCGCAAGUCCCGGAGUUCAAUCCCCAGUACUGCAAAAACAAAAAGAACAACAACAAAAAAGCUAUCAGAACUAAAAUGGAAAGCAGUUCAAAGCUUGCCUGAAGGGAGGGGUGAGUUUCAUUAUAAAUCCCUCUAUGAUCUUAUUUUUUUAAACCACAUGCAAACAUUACUGUGAUUAAAAAUAAGAAUUUGUAAGGAAGGAAUUAGAGAUUCUCAAACUGAUUUUUGGCUUUCAGUAUAAAUGAAUUAAAUGUGUAAUUUGGAGGGAGGGAAUUCAUCCUAAAUAUUAGAUCCUCUCAUCUCCCCAACCUCAUGCUGAUGCUUGACUCCAGGGUCACCUCGUGUAUCCUAGGCUCCAGGCUCCUGCUCUUUGGAGAAAUCUUGCUAAGGACAAGAACAGUCUCUCCAUCUGGGAGUCAUUGCCAGAGGUUUUACCCUUCAGUACUUAGGGAAGACUCCUUAAUAGAGCAGAAAGUACCAGGGACCUACAGUCCAGAAACCUAAAGUUCGAGCCGCAGUUGGUACCAACAGAGAAGCCGUUAGCAGUUUUCGGAAGAGAUUACCUCUUUGCCUUCUUCACAGUUAUGAGAAUCAAAGACACUAUGAGGAAGUAUUUUUGUGCUCUUUUAAAAUAAAAAUCAGGCUGGGGAAUUAGCUCAGUGGCCCUGUGCCCAUCUCUGGUACCAAAACAAAAAAUAAAAUAAAAAGCAGUGUCAUUAUCAUUAAUACUGUUAAAGUGUAGGUACCCUGGGGAACAAUUAUGAACAUCAAAAUACACUUUUCUUGGUUGUGCUAGGGAUUGAAUAUAGGAGUUCACAUAUGCUAACCAAGCCCUCUACCACUGAGCUACACCCCCAGCCCAUAUCCAUAAAAACAAAUAAUAAUAAUGGAUAACCUAUUGAGUGAGAAGUGCAUAUUGAUACAAAUAAAUGAGAAGAAAGCCUUAUAGUAGAAUGCCAACCAAAAAGUGUAAAAGGAAUGAUGAUGUUAGAAAGUAAAAAUAUUAAAAGGAAUGGUACGUUCAAAAGACCCUUUCUUUUGAAUAAAGGUUGACUGUCACUUCUUGGCCUUUUGGCUAAGAUCAAGUGUGAAUAAAGGUGGAUGUUGCUGUUCUACUUUAUUGCUAGAUUAAAAAGAAAAAGAAGGCCAGGCAUGGUGGCACACAUCUGUAAUCCCAGU